AUGUACUGUAUGUGACACCUCUGUAAUUGCCAUUUUUACUGAACAUGUACAAGACUGAUGUGAUCUACACUGAAGACAAAGGAAACACAACUGACUGGAAAAUAAGAAACGUUGUGUAUGUGCCUGAACAGUGCUGAAAAGAAGAAGUAGCAGGAGUUCCAAAUGGAGUUUUUACGUCAGUAUUUCUGGACAGUAUUACUGCUGGCCAUCAUUCUGGUAUCUCUGGUGAUAGUAAUGAUUUUCAUAAUCAUCAAUGUUUGCAUCAGUAAAAGAGCUGCUAGGUACAGUACACAAACAAAACCAAAUCAUGACAGUGACAGAAAUAUAAAAAACCAGAACAACCAAGUUCAUCAUAAAGACUUUGAGAUAGAGAAACCACCUUUACCUCCCAGAGAUCAGUUCAAAUCCAUGGAAUCUGCUCACUUCCUCUUCUUUGGCUUCACUCGACCACUCUUAGACUCAGACUCAGAGAUCUUACAGGUUUUUAUUCAAAUUCAGAUACCUUGA
rnacentral:lncRNA from 1 species